rnacentral:rRNA from 1 species
CAAGUCGAACGGGAAUCUUCGGAUUCUAGUGGCGGACGGGUGAGUAACGCGUAAGAAUCUAACUUCAGGACGGGGACAACAGUUGGAAACGACUGCUAAUACCCGAUGUGCCGAAAGGUGAAACCUAAUUGGCCUGAAGAAGAGCUUGCGUCUGAUUAGCUAGUUGGUGGGGUAAAGGCCUACCAAGGCGACGAUCAGUAGCUGGUCUGAGAGGAUGAGCAGCCACACUGGGACUGAGACACGGCCCAGACUCCUACGGGAGGCAGCAGUGGGGAAUUUUCCGCAAUGGGCGAAAGCCUGACGGAGCAACGCCGCGUGAGGGAGGAAGGUCUUUGGAUUGUAAACCUCUUUUCUCAAGGAAGAAGUUCUGACGGUACUUGAGGAAUCAGCCUCGGCUAACUCCGUGCCAGCAGCCGCGGUAAUACGGGGGAGGCAAGCGUUAUCCGGAAUUAUUGGGCGUAAAGCGUCCGCAGGUGGUCAGCCAAGUCUGCCGUCAAAUCAGGUUGCUUAACGACCUAAAGGCGGUGGAAACUGGCAGACUAGAGAGCAGUAGGGGUAGCAGGAAUUCCCAGUGUAGCGGUAAAAUGCGUAGAGAUUGGGAAGAACAUCGGUGGCGAAAGCGUGCUACUGGGCUGUAUCUGACACUCAGGGACGAAAGCUAGGGGAGCGAAAGGGAUUAGAUACCCCUGUAGUCCUAGCCGUAAACGAUGGAUACUAGGCGUGGCUUGUAUCGACCCGAGCCGUGCCGAAGCUAACGCGUUAAGUAUCCCGCCUGGGGAGUACGCACGCAAGUGUGAAACUCAAAGGAAUUGACGG